UGCCUGCUGCCCCGUGGCAGAU
rnacentral:piRNA from 1 species